rnacentral:sRNA from 2 species
ACGUAGUAUUGUAUACGUUCUUCUUUUAGUAGACGAGCCGGGCGACGCUACACCGAGAGGUUCUGCAAGCCAAAUCAAGUCGCCCCGAUUCCCAGGUUAUAUGUUACCUCUAUACUCUAGCCCUGUGUGUAACAACGAAAGAGAACAAAUGCUCAAGCAGCAUGGGAGGGUGUUGAACCAAGGAAUAGAGCGGACAGACCUCAGAUCUCAGAUCUCAGGAUCGCGAUAAGGGGCAACAGAGAGGAGGCGCCAAUACUGAUGAAAGACUGUCUGAUGAGAAGUUGUGUUGUGUGCAAAAUGCGGGUUCAACGAAAAGAGGCAUAUAUCAAAAUCAAACGUUGAAGAAAGGGG